CAUUUACACUUAGACCUCAAAAGUUUAAAAAGUUUUAAAUGGACCCCAGAAUUUUUAAAAAGUUACAAAGAGGCCUAACCAUCUGUCUCCAUUUUAAUAGUGUUAAUGGAAAAGGGUUAAUGACUAAAUGCCCUCUACUUUUUUUUAACUAUCAGAUGGAUUACUUUUUUAGAAAAAAACUACCAAAGCCCUUUCUAAUUUCAGUAUCUUCUCCUGC
rnacentral:lncRNA from 1 species